rnacentral:rRNA from 1 species
ACACGAAGUGAGUGGCGAACGGGUGAGUAACACGUGGGUAACCUGCCCAGAAGUAGGGGAUAACACCUGGAAACAGAUGCUAAUACCGUAUAACAGAGAAAACCGCAUGGUUUUCUUUUAAAAGAUGGCUCUGCUAUCACUUCUGGAUGGACCCGCGGCGUAUUAGCUAGUUGGUGAGGUAAAGGCUCACCAAGGCAGUGAUACGUAGCCGACCUGAGAGGGUAAUCGGCCACAUUGGGACUGAGACACGGCCCAGACUCCUACGGGAGGCAGCAGUAGGGAAUCUUCCACAAUGGACGCAAGUCUGAUGGAGCAACGCCGCGUGAGUGAAGAAGGGUUUCGGCUCGUAAAGCUCUGUUGUUAAAGAAGAACGUGGGUAAGAGUAACUGUUUACCCAGUGACGGUAUUUAACCAGAAAGCCACGGCUAACUACGUGCCAGCAGCCGCGGUAAUACGUAGGUGGCAAGCGUUAUCCGGA